UAAGCAAGCCAUGAACCGAUGAUUCAGAUAAAAAUCCCCCAUCUAGCGAAUGGGUGUACAUAGUAUGUACCUAUACAAUCUCCCAUACAGUGAAUGGGUAAGACCGCAAGACAAUUUACAUCAAAUAGAUUAUUAACUUUCAACAAAUCUACGCUAAACAGAUGAUGGCUUUAGCUUCAAACAAAACCCACUAAUCAUAAAACUCUAAGCACAAACCAAAUCCGUAGAAACUCCAAACCAAAAGCCAAAUCUAAUUCGCAUCGAUUAAUCACAACAACGUAGCUAAAUCCCACAUUAAAAAAAUCUAAAACCGGAAAAUAUAUAUAUAUAUAUAUAUAUAUAUAUAUAUAUAUAUAUACACAGAGACCUAAAACGAUUUCUCAACAAAUCAAAUCUCGGAUCGAGCAAAAGCAGUUUCAAUCGGGAGAGACGCCACAAAUCUCUUAAGAAAAACAACCAAACAUACAAAGAAGAUAACCAAGAAAAAUGAAAAAGAAAUCACAAUCGAUAGCAAUAAAAUCGAAUUAAAUCGCUUAAGGACUCAGAUAACUUUACCUAAGAAUGUAGAAAAUAGAAGGGUUUCAAACAGAUGGCUUCAGAUUGUGCGAGCUGUCAAGGGGGUGUAUUAUAAGAUGCUUUGGUUUGGCUUUGGGGUAGAGCAAGAGAGAGUCAGUUUUUAGGGCAAACUCAGCCUCCUAAUUUUAAUUUCCUUUCUUCUUUUCUCAUU
rnacentral:lncRNA from 1 species